AUGCUCGCGUGUCCUGUCGCGGCAUUCCCGAUCCAGUACCUUGGCCUUCUCCUUUCCAUCCGGAAGGUGCCGACCUCCCAUUUGAAGCCGCUCACCGAAAAGCUCUCGUGCAAGCCCGCUACCUGGAAGGCAUCCCUCCUCAAUCGCGGCGAGCGUCUGGCCUUGGUGCAACAGGUUUUGAACGCCAUGCCAGUGCAUCUCCUCCUUGCCAUGGAUCUUUCCCCCACUAUUCUCAAGAAGGCCAACCGUAUCCUCCGUGACUUCCUCUGGCGUGGUCGUAAGGAUGCGCACGCUGGAUCAUGCUUGGUUAGCUGGGCGAGAGUCUGUCGCCCCCUCGACCUAGGCGGCCUGGGAAUCCGUGAUCUCCACCGCACCGGGAUCUCUCUCCGCGUCAGAUGGCUUUGGCUCCAAGCUACUGACCCUUCUAGACCAUGGGCUCACUUCCAACCCCCCUGA
rnacentral:rRNA from 1 species